rnacentral:rRNA from 1 species
CCUACGGGGGGCAGCAGUGAGGAAUAUUGGUCAAUGGACGAGAGUCUGAACCAGCCAAGUAGCGUGAAGGAUGACUGCCCUAUGGGUUGUAAACUUCUUUUAUAUGGGAAUAAAAUGUUCCACGUGUGGGAUUUUGUAUGUACCAUAUGAAUAAGGAUCGGCUAACUCCGUGCCAGCAGCCGCGGUAAGACGGAGGAUCCGAGCGUUAUCCGGAUUUAUUGGGUUUAAAGGGAGCGUAGGUGGAUUGUUAAGUCAGUUGUGAAAGUUUGCGGCUCAACCGUAAAAUUGCAGUUGAAACUGGCAGUCUUGAGUACAGUAGGGGUGGGCGGAAUUCGUGGUGUAGCGGUGAAAUGCUUAGAUAUCACGAAGAACUCCGAUUGCGAAGGCAGUUCACUGGACUGCAACUGACACUGAGGCUCGAAAGUGUGGGUAUCAAACAGGAUUAGAUACCCGAGUAGUC